UACGUAGGGGGCAAGCGUUGUCCGGAUUUACUGGGCGUAAAGAGCGUGUAGGCGGCCACGCAGGUCCGUUGUGAAAACUGGAGGCUCAACCUCCAGCUGUCGACGGAAACCGUGUGGCUAGAGUCCGGAAGAGGAGAGUGGAAUUCCUGGUGUAGCGGUGGAAUGCGCAGAUAGUCAGGAGGAACACCAAUAGCGAAGGCAGCUCGCUGGGACGUUACUGACACUGAGGCGCGAAAGCGUGGGGAGCGAACAGG
rnacentral:rRNA from 1 species